rnacentral:rRNA from 1 species
GUCGUACGCUUCUUUUUCCCCGGAGCUUGCUCCACCGGAAAAAGAAGAGUGGCGAACGGGUGAGUAACACGUGGGUAACCUGCCCAUCAGAAGGGGAUAACACUUGGAAACAGGUGCUAAUACCGUAUAACAAUCGAAACCGCAUGGUUUUGAUUUGAAAGGCGCUUUCGGGUGUCGCUGAUGGAUGGACCCGCGGUGCAUUAGCUAGUUGGUGAGGUAACGGCUCACCAAGGCCACGAUGCAUAGCCGACCUGAGAGGGUGAUCGGCCACAUUGGGACUGAGACACGGCCCAAACUCCUACGGGAGGCAGCAGUAGGGAAUCUUCGGCAAUGGACGAAAGUCUGACCGAGCAACGCCGCGUGAGUGAAGAAGGUUUUCGGAUCGUAAAACUCUGUUGUUAGAGAAGAACAAGGAUGAGAGUAACUGUUCAUCCCUUGACGGUAUCUAACCAGAAAGCCACGGCUAACUACGUGCCAGCAGCCGCGGUAAUACGUAGGUGGCAAGCGUUGUCCGGAUUUAUUGGGCGUAAAGCGAGCGCAGGCGGUUUCUUAAGUCUGAUGUGAAAGCCCCCGGCUCAACCGGGGAGGGUCAUUGGAAACUGGGAGACUUGAGUGCAGAAGAGGAGAGUGGAAUUCCAUGUGUAGCGGUGAAAUGCGUAGAUAUAUGGAGGAACACCAGUGGCGAAGGCGGCUCUCUGGUCUGUAACUGACGCUGAGGCUCGAAAGCGUGGGGAGCAAACAGGAUUAGAUACCCUGGUAGUCCACGCCGUAAACGAUGAGUGCUAAGUGUUGGAGGGUUUCCGCCCUUCAGUGCUGCAGCUAACGCAUUAAGCACUCCGCCUGGGGAGUACGACCGCAAGGUUGAAACUCAAAGGAAUUGACGGGGGCCCGCACAAGCGGUGGAGCAUGUGGUUUAAUUCGAAGCAACGCGAAGAACCUUACCAGGUCUUGACAUCCUUUGACCACUCUAGAGAUAGAGCUUCCCCUUCGGGGGCAAAGUGACAGGUGGUGCAUGGUUGUCGUCAGCUCGUGUCGUGAGAUGUUGGGUUAAGUCCCGCAACGAGCGCAACCCUUAUUGUUAGUUGCCAUCAUUCAGUUGGGCACUCUAGCAAGACUGCCGGUGACAAACCGGAGGAAGGUGGGGAUGACGUCAAAUCAUCAUGCCCCUUAUGACCUGGGCUACACACGUGCUACAAUGGGAAGUACAACGAGUCGCGAAGUCGCGAGGCUAAGCUAAUCUCUUAAAGCUUCUCUCAGUUCGGAUUGUAGGCUGCAACUCGCCUACAUGAAGCCGGAAUCGCUAGUAAUCGCGGAUCAGCACGCCGCGGUGAAUACGUUCCCGGGCCUUGUACACACCGACCGUCACACCACGAGAGUUUGUAACACCCGAAGUCGGUGAG